rnacentral:rRNA from 1 species
AUGGAGAUGAAACCCAAAAGAUUUUCGUUGGGGCUUAACCCUCUCAGCGACGCGCCACAUCGGAACCCGGGUGUGGUGGAAAAUGGGCAAGGGCCGGGCCGUCACCCCCCAAGUGGCGCGCCGUAUCUUGAUCCGGAUACGGUGGCAAGUGAGCGAGGAUCGGGUCGUCGCAUCCUUAGUGGCGCGCUACAUCGGCGCCCGGAUGUAGUGGAAAAUGAGCAAGGGUCUUCGCAUUUGACUCGACGAGUGCGAAGGGUAAGGAAGCUAGCCGAGCCUAGGAGGAUUCGCUUAGGUAGCUGGAACGUAGGGUCUCUGACAGGGAAGCUUCGGGAGCUAGUUGAUGCAGCAGUGAGGAGAGGUGUUGAUAUCCUUUGCGUCCAAGAAACCAAAUGA